rnacentral:rRNA from 1 species
AACGAACGCUGGCGGCAUGCCUAACACAUGCAAGUCGAACGAGACCUUCGGGUCUAGUGGCGCACGGGUGCGUAACGCGUGGGAACCUGCCCUUAGGUUCGGAAUAACUCCCCGAAAGGGGUGCUAAUACCGGAUAAUGUCUUCGGACCAAAGAUUUAUCGCCUUUGGAUGGGCCCGCGUUGGAUUAGCUAGUUGGUAGGGUAAAAGCCUACCAAGGCGACGAUCCAUAGCUGGUCUGAGAGGAUGAUCAGCCACACUGGGACUGAGACACGGCCCAGACUCCUACGGGAGGCAGCAGUGGAGAAUAUUGGACAAUGGGCGAGAGCCUGAUCCAGCAAUGCCGCGUGAGUGAUGAAGGCCUUAGGGUUGUAAAGCUCUUUUACCCGGGAUGAUAAUGACAGUACCGGGAGAAUAAGCUCCGGCUAACUCCGUG